GAUGAACGCUGGCGGCGUGCUUAACACAUGCAAGUCGAACGGAAAGGCCCAAGCUUGCUUGGGUACUCGAGUGGCGAACGGGUGAGUAACACGUGGGUGAUCUGCCCUGCACUUCGGGAUAAGCCUGGGAAACUGGGUCUAAUACCGGAUAGGACCACAUUUUGGAUGGUGUGGUGGAAAGUUUUUCGGUGUGGGAUGAGCUCGCGGCCUAUCAGCUUGUUGGUGGGGUAAUGGCCUACCAAGGCGUCGACGGGUAGCCGGCCUGAGAGGGUGUACGGCCACAUUGGGACUGAGAUACGACCCAGACUCCGACGGGGGGCAGCAGUGGGGAAUAUUGCACAAUGGGCGAAAGCCUGAUGCAGCGACGCCGCGUGGGGGAUGACGGCCUUCGGGUUGUAAACUCCUGUCGCUAGGGACGAAGCGUUUUUGUGACGGUACCUGGAGAAGAAGCACCGGCUAACUACGUG
rnacentral:rRNA from 1 species